UACAGAGGUCCCGAGCGUUGUUCGGAUUCAUUGGGCGUAAAGGGUGCGUAGGCGGCUUUCUAAGUUUGAUGUGAAAUCCUGGGGCUCAACCCUGGAACUGCAUUGAAUACUGGGAGGCUAGAGUACUGGAGAGGAAACUGGAAUUUACGGUGUAGCAGUGAAAUGCGUAGAGAUCGUAAGGAAGACCAGUGGCGAAGGCGGCGAUCUGGGCAGAUACUGACGCUGGAGGUGACGAAAGCGUGGGGAGCAAACAGG
rnacentral:rRNA from 1 species